ACCCUCGCAAAAGCCCUGCUGUGCCGUGCCGCCUUCCGAGGCCCGGCCACAACCCCGCGCUGACACCGAGAUACUCGUAGAGAAGAAGCGGAACAGUGAAAAAGCAAAUAAAUAAAUAAAUAGCUGCCUCUGA